CAGAGCUGGAAAACUUGGCAGUGAACUCUUUGUCUAUUGCGCUUUUAUUUAUGGAUCCUGGAUUUUACAAGAUUCACAGUCUAGGAGAGUGAAGUAGAGGAAGACUAUCUCUUUGUUUAGAGGUGGAUGAAUUGCUACCCCUACUGCCUACUACUGUGUUUCGGUGUGAGCUAUAAGCAGGCUCAACCAGGAGAAGAUUUCUUUUAAUCUGAUAUGAACUUACUUGGACCAUCUGAGCUCUCCAAACUAAAGGGUAAGUCCACUCAGUUGCGCUUUUGGCAAUUGUAUCACCUAUUCUGACUCAGACUCACCUCCUGUCCUCAUGAACUUAAUCA